rnacentral:rRNA from 1 species
AUGGUUGCUCGCCUCUGGAACCACCUCCCCGACAUCUCCUCUGCGCCCAUGAGCCUCGAUGCCCUUGUUGUUGUUGCUGCUAGACCACCACGGCGCCAUCUUGGAGACCAUGGCCACCAUCGAGACCUCCCGGAACCGUCAAGACGUGCACAUGGAGACCCUGGAUUCGACAAGCCCCUCACGGUGACCCUGAACAGCUACAGGACAUGCACGACUUCGAAUCGUGUACCACGUCGAACAUGUACGACUACACAACGAACCGCCAAGACCCUGAACGACUACCGCCGCCGAAGUCCGCGAGUACCACUACGUUUGCCAUGUGCAUCUACACCAAGACCGGACCAACAAGUACCGCGAGAACGUUUGUACCUCUACCGUCGCCGUGGAUCCGACAAGUACCCCUACAACAAGUGUACCUCUACCGUCGUCUUCGGAAUCGCUAAGAAUGUCAAGUACCCCUCGAGAUGA